rnacentral:lncRNA from 1 species
CUUUAGUGGAGGAGGCCAGUGGUCAAAACCAAGAUAUUUUUAAGAAACUAAUUUCCAAGCAAAUUAAUCACACGGCUUCAUGCCCUUCCCCAAUAACUGUAAAUUGCAUGCCAUUUAGUGUUCAUGCAGCUUAUCUUUCAUCAAACCGCUGCUUCCUUUUUAAUAGCAUUUGAUAGGGUGGGGUACAUCAAGUAGAGCCCCGGAAUACCAUCUUGUUAACUGUGAGGUCUGUACAGCUAAUGUAUACCUAAACAAAUCUUAAACAGAAAGGAUCAAACAUGCGAGACCAAGAGAUUAAUGAUUCACUAACUCUAAACACCCGGUUAUGUCCGACCCGUUUUUUACUUGAAAAAGAAUGAUGCAAAGAAUUUCAUUUUUUUCGUGCG